GAACGGGNGAGUACACGCUGGGUAAUCUGCCCUGCACUUCGGGAUAAGCCUGGGAAACCGGNUCUAAUACCGGAUAUGAGCUCCUGCCGCAUGGCGGGGGUUGGAAAGAUUUUCGGUGCAGGAUGAGUCCNCGGCCUAUCAGCUUGNUGGUGGGGUAAUGGCCUACCAAGGCGACGACGGGUAGCCGGCCUGAGAGGGUGAUCGGCCACACUGGGACUGANACACGGCCCANCACUCCUACGGGNGGCAGNAGUGGGGAAUNUUGCACAAUGGGCGAAAGCCUGAUGCNNCGNCGCCGCGUGGGGGAUGACGGUCUUCGGAUUGUAAACUCCUUUCAGUAGGGACGAAA
rnacentral:rRNA from 1 species